UUGUUAGAUGUAUGCCCUAGAAGCCAACCAGGCCGACACAUGUAUUCUUUCUAGGAUAUAAUUUUGUAUUUGAUUUUAAAAUAUUAUGAAUAACUUUGGAUUUUUAUUUUCAUUCAUGUUGUGUAUGUGUCCAUGAAUCGUCCAAGGAAUUAAUAAGAUGAUGACAUAUAUUCUCAAGUGUUGAGAAUUUGAGACAUGUGUCAUUGGUGAUUAAUUCCUAAAUGCUCCCGAUCAAUUGAUCAUCACGGGGACGGUGAUUGAUCCGAUGAGAUUGGUGCAUAGGUCGCUUCCCUUUCAGAGUUGACGAGUUUCAAGUCGACAGUGUGGGGACACUGAAGCGAAUAUGCAGGUGGUUGUUAGAGAACAAGGGUACCGAGCGUGACCAACGCGAGAAGUCACUUGG
rnacentral:lncRNA from 1 species